AUGACCUGGAGUCAAGAUGCUGUGAGAUACUGGGCUGAGCCUCACUUUUUCCAUCUGCAAAAUGGACAUAACAAGACCUGCUCUUCUGUGUUUGUUCAUUCACCACAGCCGAUGCCACUAUGUCUAACUGCCAGAAUGGAAGAAGGUCAGGGAAAGACCAGAAGUAUCAGGAGUACUGGAAAGACCACAUUUCUAUAUAAGACUAUCAUCUCUCAAGUGAAUAUCUAAUUAACACCCAAGACUUGGUAGAUGAGUUCUAAUCCUCUCAACACUCUGCAAGAUCAAUACUACUACUUCCAUUUUACAGUUGGGAAACUCAAGGCUCAGUGAAAUCUGAGAAGCCCUGUGGAAAUUUUGCUGGCAGGUGUGUGAGCAAAUUUUAUUUACCACGAGUGUGAAGUCAGAGAGAAGUACACUUGUGUGAAAAGAAUCUGAAGGAGCUGCUCUAAUGGACACACCACACAGGCUCCUACUUGCAGCUGAAAUAAGAUUCCCAGCUUCUCCCAGGUGUAUUUUCUACACCUGGCUUAGUGACCUACUGCAGAGACCUAAUGUGUUCUCACUUUUGCUCGCACAUGUGGGACAUGGUGGAGGCAGCAUGGACGUUGACUGAAGACAAGAUUGUUCUCAUCUCAGUUUCCUCAAGUGGGCUGCAUGGGUAAGCAUGCCUCAUUGGCCGAGCUAUGCUGAAGCUUCUGUGGAAGAUUGUUGGUAUGGUGAAAGCAUGUUUGUUCCUCUCCACAGAGGAGAGGAUAUGAGGAAGGAAGGCAGACAUUAUUCAUCAGAGUGUGGCCAUUCAGGAUGGACUCUAUUUUCCAUAUGCAGCCUCCACAUGCAGCCUCCAUGCAGGCAGAACAGGCCACUCUCCA
rnacentral:lncRNA from 1 species